GGGUCAGUAGGUUGGUCGUGCCACCGGUACGUACUGGUCUCACUGCUUCCUCCUUCCUGAAGAACCGUAAUGCCAUUAAUUUGGUGUUGCGGGGAAACAGGACUGUUACUUUGAAAAAAUUAUAGUGUUUAAAGCAAGCUAACGCUUGAAUACAUUAGCAUGGAAUAAUGAAAUAGGACGAUCGAUCCUAUUUUGUUGGUUUCUAGGAUUGACGUA
rnacentral:rRNA from 1 species